UACGUAGGGUGCAAGCGUUAAUCGGAAUUACUGGGCGUAAAGCGUGCGCAGGCGGUUGUGUAAGACAGAUGUGAAAGCCCCCGGCUCAACUGGGGAGGGUCACUCGAUACUGAUCGACUUGAAGGCAGGAGAGGGAAGCGGAAUUCCCGGUGUAGUGGUGAAAUGCGUAGAUAUCGGGAGGAACACCAGUGGCGAAGGCGGCUUCCUGGCCUGUUCUUGACGCUGAGGCGCGAAAGCUAGGGGAGCAAACGGG
rnacentral:rRNA from 1 species